GUGUUUCCAUGACAAUUAAGGCAAGCGCCUACGUGCAAAACAAACAAACAAACAAACACAACAGAAAUGAUUCAGCGGUUUGGAGGGGAAGCGACGUUUCGUGGGAAGACGCUCGAGUUGACUCUCUCGAGCAUCUCUCAAAUCAUCUCUCAACUAUUAUUUCAGAACAACAGAGUUGGAAGGGACCUUGGAAGUCUUCUAAUCCAGGGGUCGGCAACCUGCGGCUCCGGAGCCACAUGCGGCUCUUUGGGCCCUCUGCUGUGGCUCCCUGUCAGGUGAUCCCACCACUGACUGGCUCCGCUCGUCGCCCUCCCCUCCCAAUCUCUCCUCACCUGGCCUGAAAAGGGCGACCUUGGUCCACUGGGGAUUCCUGGAGAGGAAGGAUUGCUUUGCCAACGGGAACAGCAUAUCCCUGACGCCAACGUUCAAAAUCACCGUGACCUAUUUUCAUGAGGUCUAGAAACCUGCGUUAUCUCCAUCAGGCCAGAGAUCCAUUUUGUAAUGGUUUUACAGAUUGGAAGUGUUUGCGUUGUGUUCUACAUCGUGGCGCGUCUUUGUUUUAUCCUGUUUUGAAGUUUCUAAUGUUAAUAUUAGCUGGCCAGAAUCUCUUGUUCCCGAGCUGAGGAGCCACAUCCAUCACAUCAGUCAAUGAGUAAACAAGCAAGAUCUUGGAAGCCGAGCAGGUUGCUGGGGAACGGAGAAAUCCGUUGCGCUUCUGUCUUGUUGGUGUGUCUCCCGAGAGAUAUCUAUUUUAACGGCGAAUAAAAACGCAGAGUAGAUGCUGAGGGCCUUAGCCUGGUCUAUCACGAGUGCUCCGAGAUUCUCUUUUUUCUGCCGACUAUUAAAUCAGCCGAGAAAAGAUCUUCUUGUUUGCAACUGGAAUUUCCCUCAAAAGGUCCUCGACGAAACAAGGGGAACUUACAUAUGGAAAUAUUGAAUAAUUUCAACAAUCGAAGAUUAUAACUUAACAUAAAUAUGUGUAUUAUUAGUAGAACCAGGGGGGGAGCUGCAAAGGAUUCGCAGGGUUCGGGAGAACCUCUAAUUAAGAUUCUGUGCAGUUCGGAGAACCCCAAAAUCCCAC